GUGACCUUGCAUUAUGCCGUAACAAAGAACAUUGACCGUGAGAUGUGGAGCAACAAACUCUCAAACUCAAAAAAGAUAUAGUUGUAGCACAGAAAUCACCACAUCAAACCAUCCAAACAAUAAUUAAUUUUGCCACUAUUCCCACGUCCUAAAAUGCAUACAGAGAGUCUAACUGUUGUGUCAAAUUACGGGUCAGAUUCGGCGCGCAGGGAACGCAAAUCGCAGGAACCUACUUAGCGCCCAUAUAGUCACAGAAGGCACCUUAUUUUACAGUUUUUGCAUUUACUUUUAUAAAACUACUGAAUUGCAUAAUAAUGAUGUGUUAACAACAUUCGUAACAAGAUUGCCAAUGGCAUCCCUUCCCAAGGAUGAUCAUCUUCUCAAAGAAUCUCUCUAUCUCUGUAUGAGACUGGUUUGAGACAUCACCUGAUGUGUGUAUUGUGUCCAGUCAAUUAUUCAUAACGUCAAUUGCUGCACGAAGUUGACUCAAACUUGACCGGAGGCGGCCAGCUGAGAACCUCGCAGUGUUUCCAUUUCACGACAAUUACCCGUAUUUAAGGGGAGUUAUACUUUGGCUACCUAUAUUUAGUUUAUUUAUUUAUGUUUAUUACAUAUCUUUGCAGACGAUACAAUGUACCAGUUCACUUUUGGGAUUAAGUAGUUAUGCUUUUCCAUAAUCAUCCUUCGCCCUAUUGUAUGUCUCUUCUUCAUUUGAUUGAUUAUAUGUAAAUAAUUUAUGGCCAGUGACCAAAAUUGGACUAGGUAUUAUCUUCAUAGGCUCAUAUAAGUUUGUGUAUUUCUCUUACGGUCUCUUUGUUACUCUUACGUUAGUAGAUACGUGUCUUCAUAUCUUCGAUACUGGGUUUGCGAGCUACACGGCGGCCUAAAUUUGUUGCUCAAAUCUUUACCUAAAUUAAAUUUGUAUCGUUAGAUAAGAGUUGCGUUUAUAAUCUAACCCGAGGCACCCUAUUUCAGGAGCUGAGAGUUCUUUUUUACAAGCUUUUAUUUAAUGUCAACGAACUAUUAUAUGUAUAUAAGUAU